rnacentral:rRNA from 1 species
AUGACAUGGAACCUAAGCAUUGUGUGGGUUCAGUUGUAUCUGAUCAUGGGCAUUGGACACACUGAAUUGACGGGGAGCAUGACCGCAAAAAUGACACGCCUAGAAAGAAAAAUCACCGUUAUCGAUGGAUCUGCUGCUGCUGCUGCUGAAUAUCCUGCAGUUAGAGAAGUACGAUUGAGAGUAGGGAGCACAAAAUACACCCAAACCUGGGAGCUACCCGACGAGAUCAGGGCGGUGGAGAUAUCUACUCUCCGGGAUCCGGCGGGCCUCCCCGUAGCAGCCUGCCCCCCUGAAUCCCUCGUCUUCUCCAAGCUCCCCCGCGCCUCCACCAACGGCUAA